GCGGCCUAUCAGCUUGUUGGUGAGGUAAUGGCUCACCAAGGCGACGACGGGUAGCCGGCCUGAGAGGGUGACCGGCCACACUGGAACUGAGACACGGUCCAGACUCCUACGGGAGGCAGCAGUGGGGAAUAUUGCACAAUGGGCGAAAGCCUGAUGCAGCAACGCCGCGUGAGGGAUGAAGGCCUUCGGGUUGUAAACCUCUUUUAGCAGGGAAGAAGCGAAAGUGACGGUACCUGCAGAAAAAGCACCGGCUAACUACGUGCCAGCAGCCGCGGUAUACGUAGGGUGCAAGCGUUGUCCGGAAUUAUUGGGCGUAAAGAGCUCGUAGGCGGUUUGUCGCGUCUGCUGUGAAAAUCCGAGGCUCAACCUCGGACCUGCAGUGGGUACGGGCAAACUAGAGUGCGGUAGGGGAGACUGGAAUUCCU
rnacentral:rRNA from 1 species